rnacentral:misc_RNA from 1 species
AAGUCGUAACAAGGUUUCCGUAGGUGAACCUGCGGAAGGAUCAUUAUAAAGUUUUUUUUGCUUUUUCCUAAAGCAUCCACCCCAAUUGUGCACAGAACGCAGUUUUACCUUUUUGGCGAUGCUUUGAGAGAAGUCUUUGAGCUUUUUUGUCUUUUGACCUUUUCUCGACUCUGAGCUCUUGGGGGUUUUGCUGGGUGUUGACAAAACACUCAGUAAGUCACCCCGAGAGUUUUGGGAAUGCUCGCCAAAAGGUUUUAUUUAAAAACAUUUUUUUGUUUAAAUUUUGUCUGAACAUUUUUAAGUGUAAAAGAGUCGUGUGAGAGGUGUGUCAUCAAAUGACCCUUUUUACCUACUCUUUUCACCCAAACUUUAAGAAAAAAUAAAAUACAACUUUUAACAACGGAUCUCUUGGCUCUCC